AUUUUUUGUUGAAUAUUCUCUUGCAAUAAUGGUAUGCGAUAUAAUUCUAUUCAUUAGAAUGUAAAUUAUUUUUAACUAUUAUUAUUUAAUAUUAUAUUCAUUUAUAUGUCAAGACUUAUAGGUACGGUAUUAGGAGACAAACGACGAUGUUCGCGUUCGCAGCCUACCCCUAAGGCUAAGGUGCCUUCACAUAUUUUCACUGCCACACCAGUAGAGUUGCCAGAGGGUCCUACACUGGCAGGUCCCAAUAAGACAGGUCCGAGUGAGGUGGGUCCGAGUGA
rnacentral:lncRNA from 1 species